UCGGGCGUAGUGUACGACGCACGGCUGCCAUUAUUUCAUAAGCAGUAGACGCCAUGGCACGCAGCAGACCGGGGUUCGACUCCCCGCGCCCGAA